rnacentral:rRNA from 1 species
UGGGGAAUAUUGGACAAUGGGGGCAACCCUGAUCCAGCAAUGCCGCGUGUGUGAAGAAGGCCUUCGGGUUGUAAAGCACUUUCAGUAGGGAAGAAAGGCUCAAGGUUAAUAGCCUUGAGAGUUGACGUUACCUACAGAAGAAGCACUGGCUAACUCUGUGCCAGCAGCCGCGGUAAUACAGAGAGUGCAAGCGUUAAUCGGAAUCACUGGGCGUAAAGCGCACGUAGGUGGAUACUUUAGUCGGAUGUGAAAGCCCUGGGCUUAACCUAGGAACUGCACUCGAUACUGGGUAUCUAGAGUAUGGUAGAGGGAAGUGGAACUUCCGGUGUAGCGGUGAAAUGCGUAGAUAUCGGAAAGAACACCAGUGGCGAAGGCGGCUUCCUGGACCAAUACUGACACUGAGGUGCGAAAGCGUGGGGAGCAAACAGGAUUAGAUACCCCCGUAGUCC